AACCAAACCCAGCAGUUCCGUACCAGGUUCCACCAAGGGUGCCAAGCGGCAGCGUAAAUAUAAAAAUUCACGUAGUUGUUCCAGUGCUGACGAUGACGACGACGACGAUGAUAUCGAUCCCCUGACGAAGGAUCGAAAGGAGAAGGAACGAAGACAGGCCAACAAUGCCCGCGAAA